UACGUAGGUGGCAAGCGUUGUCCGGAUUUAUUGGGUUUAAAGGGUGCGUAGGCGGUUGAUUAAGUCAGUUGUGAAAUACGGUAGCUCAACUAUCGAGGUGCAAUUGAUACUGGUUGACUUGAGUACAGACGAGGUAGGCGGAAUUGACGGUGUAGCGGUGAAAUGCAUAGAUAUCGUCAAGAACACCGAUAGCGAAGGCAGCUUACUA
rnacentral:rRNA from 1 species